GGCUUGUGUAAAGUCUGUGCUGGCUGGAGCAUAAAUACCUGUGCACUACAAGUUUGAGCAGGUGAUCUCCUUAUUGUCACUGCUUCAGUGGACAACAUCAAGAAGCUCCUACAACACCUUGAAGAAAAUAACACCAUUUGCAGCUAAAUCACGAUGGUAAUCUGUGGCAGUUCACCGUUGGAAAAAGAUCAAUUCAAUAUUCAUGAAUUUUCAGGGAGUUAUUUCGAUUUUCUGAAUGUGCUUAAACUAAUGUAAACUAAUGUAAAAAACAACUCUUCAAGUGAAAAUUAUAUAGUUGAUGAUGUAUUGAGUUACACUAAUGUUUAUAUGACUCUUCUCCUCUCCUUUUUGAGUGUCUCUCACUCACCUCUGGCCGAAAGGGAGCGAACAGGCUGUAUGCUGCCUUACAACAUACAAACCAAAACCGACAAUUACAAUUACACCAGUCGUGGGUUCAGUGACGCGGCCCAUGUCCAGAACAGUCAGCUUUCUCUUCUCUUCCGUCUUCUCAUUUAAAUUACAUACGUUUUGUGCACUUAUUGCAAGAAAUUGUAUAUCUAUUCAUAAAGUAGGCUAUUACCUUGUAUUUGUAAAAUCAAGUAACAUUCUACAAUUUAAUUUAAUUGAUAAGACGUCAAAUGUUUCCUUUAUAUAAGUUAUGUAUGGAAACAUUUGAGGGCUAAAGUCAAUUACUAACUAUUAUGAAUAAUUUCCCCAGAAUUAUGAAGUGACAGAUGGUGUUUCCCCUGCAGCAAAGGACAAUGUGGAUGGAGAUUUUACAGAUCUCAUCAAAAACUUCCACCAUCUGAACAUGUAUG